CCCUUAGAUGUUCUGGGCUGCACGCGCGCUACACUGAUGCACUCAACGAGUUUACGACCUUGCCCGAUAGGGUUGGGUAAUCUUUUUAAAAUGCAUCGUGAUGGGGAUAGAUUAUUGCAAUUAUUAAUCUUCAACGAGGAAUUCCUAGUAAGCGCGAGUCAUCAGCUCGUGCUGAUUACGUCCCUGCCCUUUGUACACACCGCCCGUCGCUCCUACCGAUUGAAUGAUCCGAUGAAUACCAUGGAUUGAGAGUACGAAUGGGUUCGCUCAUUUCUGCUGCUCGAGAAGUGGAGUAAAUCUUAUCAUUUAGAGGAAGGAGAAGUCGUAACA
rnacentral:rRNA from 1 species